CAGUAGCCGCGGUAAUACGAAGGGGGCUAGCGUUGCUCGGAAUCACUGGGCGUAAAGGGUGCGUAGGCGGGUCUUUAAGUCAGGGGUGAAAUCCUGGAGCUCAACUCCAGAACUGCCUUUGAUACUGAAGAUCUUGAGUUCGGGAGAGGUGAGUGGAACUGCGAGUGUAGAGGUGAAAUUCGUAGAUAUUCGCAAGAACACCAGUGGCGAAGGCGGCUCACUGGCCCGAUACUGACGCUGAGGCACGAAAGCGUGGGGAGCAAACAGGAUUAGAGACCCCCGUAGUCCCUGUCUCUUAUAC
rnacentral:rRNA from 1 species